rnacentral:lncRNA from 1 species
UUGAAAGCUGGUAUUAUACACACCUAGGAGGUACAAUACUAAAUCUACAAACUCAUGUAUACAAUAUUUCUUUAAAAUUUUAUAUGAUUCAAUUUAGUCAAAGGAAGAGAGAGGCCAACAAGAUCUGAAACAAAAAAGCUGCAUUUAUUGCUUGCUAAACAAGAAAAAAUUGUACUUGCAAGACAGUCACCCCAAACAACACAGGAAAGGAAAUUAUGUAAGCAUUUGGGAAGUGUGCAGUUCCAUCAUCAAAGUUCUGAAGAGUGUGCAUUGUGACAUAAUGUGUGUUGAAGAUCACCUUGUCCUCGCCAUUAACUCUCCAGUAUCAUCUACUGUGCUGUCGUUCUCUCACAUGGCCUUUGGUCAUUGGUUCAGACAGGCUAAGAAGACAAAUGGAGAUUUGCAGAAGAAAAUGUCAUAUGGGUUAUCCUGGUAGUCUCCAGAGAAUUAACUGAGUCAUCCACAUUAUUUAGCUCCAUCUCCAUCCUUCAUGUGAUAGGAAACAGAGUUUUGAAGUCGAGGACAUAAGGCAGCAUCACCAAAUGCUCUCCAGGAGAGUUGCUACCUCUGCCAAAGGCAAAAAGGAGAUAGGGAAGCUGCCAUAGCAUCUGUUGGUUCCAGGAAGAAACCACCUUGCCUGUGGCCUGGGGAUAGAAGGAUGACACCUCAUCUAGUUACUUUAUGCAUGGCAGUUCUGCACUAGCAAAAACUCAGAGGCCAACCCCCAGACUGGAGCCUGAAAUGUUGCUACAUAAAACCCAGUGUUUCCAUGACCGAGCUUGCCAGCUGCAACAACAAUAUCAGCAGAAAGAUCGCUUCUGAUCAACUUCUCCUUCCAAAUCUCAUGUGAGUGCAAAUGCUGGCAGAAACUCAAUUUAACCAGAACCCUACUUGUAAGGGAGUCUGGGAAAUGUAAUUUUUAGAUUACUAGUUUUACAAAUAUAAAUGUAUAUGGAAGGAGGUUGGAAUGGAGGUUGAGUGCUGAUCUGCCAUAUCCACAUCAUAUCUCCUUUAGACUCUGACACAAGAGGUGGCCUUUCCCUGAACCCUAUGUUUUAGAAGAUCCUGAAUACCACAGAUGCAAUAUGAGUAAAUUUAUAAAAACACAUUUGUGCUCCUAUCUCUUGGGAACCUAUAUUCAACAAUGGCACAGCACAACUCAUAAACCAAAGCAUUAGCUCACAGACAUUGUUCGGGCCUCAGAGAAGUGUUUCUCAAGGUCACUUACCAUAUAUUCUUGAAAGGAAAGAUGGCCAAGUCCAAAUUCCAUGUAAGUUUGUGAAUGGAGCCACUUCAGACUUUGGGGGUGGACACAACU